ACGCGCGUGUGAGCAUUGUGAUGCUGCGCAUCGCAGCGGCCGGCCGCUCCGAGCGCUAGCGGAGCCGCCGCUAGCGAGCGCCUUGCGGCCGAAGGCGUCACCGUCAGACAAGUGGGAACAUCUGCACAAACGGUGAACACAAAGGUUCAGCGUCGGGCUCAGAGUCGCGGGGGACCGGGGUAAGGUACAGCAGGAGUGAGAAUGCUAAUGAGUCACAGUGUGUUGUUAUGAUCCCAACACAGCAGCUCAGCAAAGACAUGCAAAGACAUGCACAUGCAGGGUGAUGAAGAUGGUGCACGGUACUUAUAGUUUCACACUAUUCGCCGGGUUUAAGUUCCCUGAGACGGAGCAUCGUGACUUGAGUUUGCAGUCGUGGAGGCUGAAAUAGUCAAAUAGGAGGCAAAGGUUUCCUUGCACUUCAGCUGCUGUUAUUAUUAUUAUUGUCCCCAACACCAUCGAAUGUCCAACUCAGUCACGUCGGGAACUGACAACAAGCCGGAUGCGUCUUCAUGAUCCCUGAUUCUCACGUAAUGUGUGAUGAUUACAGAUAAAUCACAUGAAGUGAAAUGUUUGCAGGCACAGAAACAGGUACUUUGAAUAAUUAGAUGGCACAAACAGGCGUGCGUGCGCGCGCACACACACGCACAAACACAGACACACACUGGUUUCCUCUUGUAAAAGCGCUGUACUUAGAUUUUAAGCAGCCAAAGUGAACGUCCUCCACGGAACGGUUCAAUUAAAGCGCGCUCACGCGCCGACGCCGUGGAGCGUCUCGCUCCUCGCGCUGCACAGAACUCGGCGGCGUUAAUCCGAGACGCAGCCGCUGCCUCGGCGCAGACGACAACGAGGAGCCUCGCCGUCCUCCGACCUGCAAACACCAGCGGCUGCUCGCUUUAAUCCGGGGUCACGGGCCGUGAACUCGUCUCGUUGCCGUAGUUAGUGCGCAGUUCGGAGCCCGCGCGGCGUUUGUGGAGCCACCGCGAACCGUGCACGCGUUCACGUCUGACUCAUUGUUCAGGACGCACGGAAGCAGCAGUGGCGCGUGCAGUCACGAAAAUAGCCGAAGGGCGCGUUUUAUGCGGCUUGUUUACUGUUUUACGUACACUGGAUGCCCGCGAGGCGCGUUUGGCCCUGAGCGCGUGCAAAAGGCGCUAUUUAUGAUCAUUACAGUAUACGCAACUAUUAGGACUAACAAGAACCCACUUUAGACUAAUGCAAAGCGCUGCCAGGAUGAAGGCUGAGGUGUUGAAGCUGAACCGGACUCCUCCGCCUCGGCACCGUGAGGUUCUGCUGGUGUGGACCGGCGUCCCGGGGCGGAACGUGCCCUCCGCCUGGCGGCAACAGCUGGCGCUUUGUGCGGAGCAGACACGGGUUAAUUACAUAUUUGAGAUGGAUUGCUCGCAGCGGGGCUUUAAAUCCAGGAUCCCUCAGGAAACUUUGAAAACCGUCCGCACACGCGAGCUUUUGUUCUUCCCUCGUUUCACGUAAACGCCAAAGCGAAUACGAAGCCUCGCAAUUAAAACACACCAGGAAGCGGCGACCGGGCGACUCGAAUCGCGGCUUUUGGCACCGCUUUUCUAUUCGUCUGCCUUCGAGCGCGUGCGAUCUCUGCGGGGCUCGAUGCGGGACUGGCCCGCGCGUGACCCUCAUUUUGUGUUUAUAUUGUAAAGGCAGCGCCUGGCUCUCGCGCAGCGCCCUGGAGAAAUACCCUGCACCUCGUUAUCGCCGCAUCUCUCAGGGAGGCCGCGUCUCAAUCCGUCCACUGCAGGACGGCGCUAAACGACGCGGGCGUGCGCUGAAUGCGGAAUGACUGCGACGCUUUAACGCUCCGCUUCUUUUACUUCAGCAAAGCGACGGUACGUCAGGCGGCCACGCUGACCACCGCCUCCAUUAAAAUCAGCCGCCGUGGCUCCAGUAAUGACCACAGGAGCCUGGGACCUGAGUGUCUAGUUGAACGUUUGAGCGCAGACACUAAAGGCAGGAGACAAAUGCGGCGUGGAGCGUUGACGGCUUCCGGAAACGCCGCAGCGCGGUGCUGCACACGAAUCUCCGCCUCGGCCGGUUUUCCCUGCACAUGUAUUGGUUUCACCCCUGACACGAACGGGAGCGCGCACACCUCCGAGGGCCGCUGCAGAAGCGGGCACGCGCGCCAUCCGGAGGAGACGCUGCUGCGAGCUAACGCGGCUAACGCGGCUAACGCGGCAGUGAAGCGUUCAAUGACCCCAGUCUCUGCAUCCUCACAGGGUCACGUGGACCAAGCAGCUCCCUGGGCACCGAGUAGCACAGCCGAGGUUGUCGGAGGUGCCGCAGCCGGCCAUAUGGAGCGAUGGAGGACGGAUGGGGUUUUAAGUGGCGGCCGGUGGACGGGGAUCUCCUCUUAUUGCCUGUGAGCAGAACUAGGCAGGCCACACACACUCAUGCCGGGUCCUGAGGCGACAGAUCAGCCCGUGUGUGACGCUGCUCCUCCUGUAGAUGCUGCCAGCGCCCCAUCUGCGUUUAUAGAUAUUUCCAUGUCAGAGCUGAGCUCCAUCAAUCUUUCCUCACAGAAGCGACAGCCGUCCGCUGAAGGACACAGAGUCCAGAUGAUGACUAAGAAUUCCUGGAGGAGUUGACAGUAUGCAAAUAAGAGGUCAAGGUUGCUGAAGUCACACUCCAUAUAAUUCUGCAUCUUGGGCGCUUUACAGUGGGAUGAGUCAGGUGAGCGUGGCUCCGGUGCCUUUCUUCUGGGAACACGAGGGAGACUCUGCUUUCUCUGCUCGCUUGGCUCGUUUCUGCAUCCUUUGGUCUUUUGACACUGUGGGUUUUGCGGUUAAUGGUGAGAAACAGGCUAAUGAGAAUGGCAGAAACUCUCUCAGGACAAAUACAAACUCAGGAGGAGCAAAAGUCUGGAGCAGCUGGGAUUGUUUUCAUAAUGAUGCAACUUCUUGCAACUGCUUUUACUGUUUUAGUAAUGCCACUGUAUACGUUUGACAUUAACACGUUUUAAUAGCUAAAGUUUAGAGCAUUUUGCAGUUGGUGAAAAUAUAAAUGAUAACAUCCAUGCUAUUCAAUUAUACAAUUCUUCAUAAAGGUUCUGUCAUAUAUUACAUGUAUUUGUAUUAUUCCCAUAUUUCAUGGCCUUCACUGUUCUAAUGUGGCUACAGUGUGUUGAAGGUGUCUGUAGUGAACCAACACAGGCCUGAAUCAUCUGACUAUGACUGCAUCUGUGCAGAUAACGCAUGCUUUCUCCAGCAUGUGUCAGAAGAUUACGUCAGGGCUGUUCUCCCUUCUUUAAACACGCAGCUCAAAAAAACGCACUUCUUCUGAACACAAUCUUUAAAAUGCCACGUCGUCAAAGCGGAGCCUGACAUUUUAGGACCAAACACUUCUUUCCAAUU